UUCCCCUUCCAUACCGUCUCUGCAUCUUCUUUGAUACGGUCCUUCCUAAUUAAUACCAACCAACCAUAUCUCCACAGGAUGUAAUCCUUCCCCAUCCGAGCCCUUAUAAACGGAAUACUGCAUCUCCUUGCCUAGCAUGCAUUCGCCAUCGCCUCGCGAUGGCUCCAGUUGAUCUUCUCGCCACCAUUGCUUGCGGAGCAACACUGGGAUGGGAUCCGGCUUGCCUGCUUCCUCUCCAUGCUCCCAUCCGUGCUGCCACUUCAUCCUACGGCUGUUCUUUUCCCUUUUUCUUUUCUAAUCUAAUCAUCUUCCCCCCUGAUUUUCAGGGGGUGGGGCCGGGCCUUAUUUUCUUCCAAUCAAAUCAAGCCACGUAUGCGGGAGCACGGAUGGGAGCAUGGGAAGGGAGCAGGCAAGUCUCGUCCACUGGGAUGGUUAAUAUUUGGUCGAUUUCGUGAGUUAGGAGGUUGAUUUCCCUUCAUGAGUUGGGUUAUCUAUGUUAUUCUUUGGGAAGAUCGAUUGUUGGAAAGAUUGACUACAAUUCCCCCUGAUCAUUGCUAAGACCAACACGUUGACGGACGAGCGAUCGAGGUGCUGCAUGCCGUCGUUCAUGCCAACCCAAUCCGACGAGGAGGCGCGGGCGCCACUGCUCCGUGAUAGCGUGGGGCGACACCUUGAAGUUCUUGAUCUGGACCAUCUGGCCCGCCUUCUACCACAGCAUCUUGCAACACAAUACGUCAUGCAUGUGCAUCUUGCCUCAUCUCUUGCUAUGUUUUUUCACAGAUAUGCCCGAUUUCUAUCACCGACACGAGCAGGUCAUCACCCUGCGUUGGGGAGAAAGAGCCUACAACCCUGACCAUUAGAUUCGUGCUUCCUUUGUAUUGUUUUCAGCACGUACAGUCAAAAUUGCUUUUUGCAAUCCGAAUGCUUGAUUUGCUGCAAGCUGAUUGAAGUCAUGUGCACGAUAAACAACAACGUUAGGAAUUUAUUCAAGGUGCAGACAAGCAAUUUGUAUUACAGUUGAACCUUAGUAUAUACUAUAUUAUGUUUAAUUCCCC